rnacentral:rRNA from 1 species
AGUGGCAGACGGGUGAGUAAUGUAUAGGAAUCUACCUAGUAGUACGGAAUAAUUGUUGGAAACGGCAACUAAUACCGUAUACGCCCUACGGGGGAAAAAUUUAUUGCUAUUAGAUGAGCCUAUAUUAGAUUAGUUAGUUGGUGAGGUAAAGGCUUACCAAGACAAUGAUCUAUAGCUGAUCUGAGAGGAUGAUCAGCCACACUGGAACUGAGAUACGGUCCAGACUCCUACGGGAGGCAGCAGUGGGGAAUAUUGGACAAUGGGCGAAAGCCUGAUCCAGCCAUGCCGCAUGAGUGAAGAAGGCCUUCGGGUUGUAAAGCUCUUUUAGUGAGGAAGAUAAUGACGGUACUCACAGAAGAAGUCCUGGCUAACUCUGUGCCAGCAGCCGCGGUAAUACGGAGAGGGCUAGCGUUAUUCGGAAUCAUUGGGCGUAAAGGGCGCGUAGGCGGGUUAAUAAGUUAAAAGUGAAAUCCCAAGGCUCAACCUUGGAACUGCUUUUAAAACUGCUAGUCUAGAGAUUGAAAGAGGAUAGAGGAAUUCCUAGUGUANAGGUGAAAUUCGUAAAUAUUANNAGGAACACCAGUGGCGA